UAGCAUAUCAAUAAGCGGAGGAAAAGAAACCAACAGGGAUUGCCCUAGUAACGGCGAGUGAAGCGGCAACAGCUCAAAUUUGAAAUCUGGCUCUUUAGGGUCCGAGUUGUAAUUUGCAGAGGGCGCUUUGGCUUUGGCAGCGGUCCAAGUUCCUUGGAACAGGACGUCACAGAGGGUGAGAAUCCCGUACGUGGUCGCUAGCUAUUGCCGUGUAAAGCCCCUUCGACGAGUCGAGUUGUUUGGGAAUGCAGCUCUAAAUGGGAGGUAAAUUUCUUCUAAAGCUAAAUAUUGGCCAGAGACCGAUAGCGCACAAGUAGAGUGAUCGAAAGAUGAAAAGCACUUUGGAAAGAGAGUCAAACAGCACGUGAAAUUGUUGAAAGGGAAGCGCUUGCAGCCAGACUUGCUUGCAGUUGCUCAUCCGGGCUUUUGCCCGGUGCACUCUUCUGUAGGCAGGCCAGCAUCAGUUUGGGCGGUGGGAUAAAGGUCUCUGUCACGUACCUCUCUUCGGGGAGGCCUUAUAGGGGAGACGACAUACCACCAGCCUAGACUGAGGUCCGCGCAUCUGCUAGGAUGCUGGCGUAAUGGCUGUAAGCGGCCCGUCUUGAAACACGGACCAAGGAGUCUAACAUCUAUGCGAGUGUUUGGGUGUCAAGCCCGAGCGCGUAAUGAAAGUGAACGGAGGUGGGAACCCGCAAGGGUGCACCAUCGACCGAUCCUGAAGUUUUCGGAAGGAUUUGAGUAAGAGCAUGGCUGUUGGGACCCGAAAGAUGGUGAACUAUGCUUGAAUAGGGUGAAGCCAGAGGAAACUCUGGUGGAGGCUCGCAGCGGUUCUGACGUGCAAAUCGAUCGUCAAAUU
rnacentral:rRNA from 1 species